ensembl:miRNA
UGGGUCUCGCCAGUUGUAACAGCAUCUCCAUAUGGAAAGAUCCACCCAGAGUGGGUUCCAGUGGGGCUGCUGUUAUCUAUGGAGGGACGCC